GUAGAUAUAGUUCAGUGGUAGAGUGUGUGCUUAGCAUGCACAAAGUCCUAGGUUCAAUCUCCAGUACCUCCA
rnacentral:tRNA from 1 species